AUGCCUUGUUGCUCUUGCUGCUUCCGCGUCUCCAACAAGGAAGAGAAACACGCCUCCGAUCUCUACUCCCGUUCCAUGGGCAGACUGUCAUCUGAGAAGAAGAUCAAGCUCUUCUCCUACGCGGAGCUGCGGUCGGCGACCAACAACUUCCACCGGAGCAACCACAUCGGGCGAGGCGGCUUCGGCGCCGUCUACAAGGGCGCGCUGCGGGACGGCAGCGGCGACGUGGCGGUCAAGGUGCUGUCCGCGCACUCCCGGCAGGGCACCAGGGAGUUCCUCACCGAGAUCGACGUCAUCGCCAACGUGGAGCACCCCAGCCUGGUGUCCCUGCUGGGCUGCUGCGUGGAGGGCCGCCACCGCAUCCUCAUCUACGAGCUCCUCCCCAACGGCAGCCUCCACGGCGCCCUCCUCGCCUCCGCCAGCGACCCCUCCAGGCUCACUUGGGCGAUCAGGCGCGGCGUCUGCGUCGGCGUCGCUAGGGGCCUGGCGUUCCUGCACGAGGAGAUGGCAUCCGGCCCCAUCGUGCACAGGGACAUCAAGGCCAGCAACGUCCUCCUCGACGCCGGCUACGGCGCCAAGAUCGGCGACUUCGGCCUCGCCAAGCUCUUCCCGGACGCCGCCACGCACGUCAGCACCCGCGUCGCGGGGACCGCGGGGUACCUCGCGCCGGAGUACGCGCUGUACGGCCAUCUCACCAAGAAGGCCGACGUCUACAGCUUCGGGGUGCUGCUGCUGGAGACCGUCACCGGCAAGAGCAGCUCCAGGAGCUUCCAUUUAUCCGACGAGGGGGACAAGGUGCUGGUGGAGAGGGUGUGGGAGCUCUACGAGGCGGCCAACCUCAGGGACAUGAUCGACCCGGCGAUGGAAGACGGCUGCAAUGAGGAGGAGGCUGUGAGGUACAUGAAGGUGGCGCUGCUGUGCACGCAGGCGACGCCGCUGCGGCGGCCGUCGAUGCCGCGGGUGCUGGAGAUGCUGGAGAGGGAGGAUGUCCGGUUGAGGGAGAAAGAGAUCACGCCGCCGGGCUACGUCCUCCGGGACAACAAGGACAUCCACUCCACGUCCAUGGUCGUUGCUUCGCACACCGUGACGGAGGUAGCGCCAAGGUAA
rnacentral:rRNA from 1 species